UGGGGAAUAUUGCACAAUGGGCGAAAGCCUGAUGCAGCGACGCCGCGUGAGGGAUGACGGCCUUCGGGUUGUAAACCUCUUUCAGCAGGGAAGAAGCGAAAGUGACGGUACCUGCAGAAGAAGCGCCGGCUAACUACGUGCCAGCAGCCGCGGUAAUACGUAGGGCGCAAGCGUUGUCCGGAAUUAUUGGGCGUAAAGAGCUCGUAGGCGGUUAGUCGCGUCUGCUGUGAAAACUCGAGGCUCAACCUCGGGCUUGCAGUGGGUACGGGCUGACUAGAGUGCGGUAGGGGUGACUGGAAUUCCUGGUGUAGCGGUGGAAUGCGCAGAUAUCAGGAGGAACACCGAUGGGCGAAGGCAGGUCACUGGGCCGCAACUGACGCUGAGGAGCGAAAGCAUGGGGAGCGAACAGGAUUAGAUACCCUGGUAGUCCAUGCCGUAAACGUUGGGCACUAGGUGUGGGGUCCAUUCCACGGAUUCCGUGCCGCAGCAAACGCAUUAAGUGCCCCGCCUGGGGAGUACGGCCGCAAGGCUAAAACUUAAAUGAAUUGAC
rnacentral:rRNA from 1 species